GUGAGGGGAGCUGAGGCAGGAGGCCAAGCAGGCUAGGAGGUGAGGAACCUCAAGGAUAACUAACUCCAGGCUCUCCUUCCCUCCAAG
ensembl:miRNA Mir7070 microRNA 7070